rnacentral:tRNA from 1 species
GGUCGUGGCUUAAUGGUAGAACAUCUGCUUGCUAUGCAGAAGGUAAGUUCAAUCCCUGGCAUCACCA